rnacentral:tRNA from 1 species
GGAGAGGUAGCAUAGUGGUUAUGCAAAAAGUCUCUCAUGCCUUAGGCUCUGAGGUUCUGGGUUCAAUCCCCAGCACUGCCA